UGGAUUGAUAAAACAAUGGAGGUCUCUCUGAUAAGGAAUCUCUCCAGCUGAGUCUAAUUUCUGAGAGUAGACUGAAGAGGACACAGCAGGGCAGUCUAGUCAGAGGGCAGCCAUAGCCAAGCCUAUAACCAGCAAGCAGGAAAACAGAUGACCUCUGAGGACAACAUCACCCAGAGGACAGGCUCCAGAUGCUAACAAUGUGGGCUCCUCUGAACAUGUACUUCGCCUCUCACUGCACAGGCAAAUCCUGCCCCAGCACACCAGUUUCUGAUAAAUAUUUUAGUGCCUCACUCUUAACUAUGAAUAGAUAGCCAAGGAUCACCAGACAGGAAGUCCUCUAACACAGACAAACAGAAACUAAAGACAAGACAGAAAGGAUCUCAGAGAAAACAGGCAAUUCAGGGAGCAGAGGGAAACUUUCUGGACAAACCCACAAUUAAAACCUUCUAGGACUUAAGAGGAACUGUAUACUUGUGAUUCAAGAUCAGGCUCCUAGCAGGAACAUUCAUAGCUCCAGGAUUAGGGACAGGAAAGAGGACAGAGCUGAAACAAAAUUCUACAGGAGGAUUAGAAGAUAACAAUGAGAAUUUUUGCCAAAAAAAAUGCCGCAAAAGGCCGAAGAACGAACAAUAGGAGAGGAGAGAUGAAAAGACAAGAGAAGAAAGUUGAACUCCUGACAAACAGGAAUUCCAAAAGAGAGAAAAGGAAAAAAAUAUAUAGAGAAUAAGUUAUUUUUUAAAAUGCAAGAAAAUUCCCUAGAGCUAAGUGGCAUAAAUCUCCUGAUAGAUGCUCAGGCCAAGGCAAAUCAUCAUGGAAUAUCACUGCAGCAGAGAUAAAGAGAAGGCCUUAGAAGCUUCUAGAGGAACACAGAGGCCACUUAGCAAAUAUCAGCAAUCAGGAGGCCCUUAGAAUUCUCAACAGCAACACAGGGAGCUAGAAGACAAGGGCCUUCAAAAUUCUGGAAGGGCAACAAAUUUCUAAUGUGGAAUUCUUGGCUUAUGAAACUACUGAUCAAUUUUGAAAAUGAAAUACAGGCAUUUUCAAGCACUCAAGAUCUCAAGAAACGUUUCUUGUCUGCACCGUUUCUCAGGCAGUUAUUGGGCACGUGCUCGUCCAAGGUAAGAGAAAACCAAGAAAGAGGAGUCUCAGCAGCUAAACCAGUGAAGCAGAGCAGGACAGAAGGGAUUGUCAGGCUGGCAGCCAUGCAGGGGGACCCAGGGAGCCAUCAGUCCAGGUGGAAGCUGGGAGACCAGGGUUUCCCAGAGGCAUUCCUCCAGGAAAAACAUGAACUGAACUUUUUUUUGAUAUAUAGGCUGUGCGGAAAAUAGAAUUGAGAAAGCGUUUUACAAGUAAAUUGUGGCUGUUGAAAAUUAGCCAGAGGUGCAUCGGGGAAAAUCCAAAGUAAUUAUAAGCUUGAAAAUAUACACAUGUACGAGACAGAAAUGCAAUCUUAUUUCUUGAUGUGGCUCAGUGGAAAAUAUUUACAUAAUCAUAGUAUUGACUUCCUGAAGACCCAGAUAAACAACAUUGGGAAGAUGAAGAAAGAGAAGCAAAUGUUUGUUGGGGCAACAGGGUGGUAAUUUGGGGGAGUAUUAAAGAGCUGUAUUGGCUUCCUGUUGCUUCUGUAACUCAUUACCGGACAUUCAGUGGCUUAAGACAACACAACUGUGACCUUGCAGUUCUGGAGUUCAGAAGUCUGAAAUGAGUCUUCACCGUGCUAUAAUCAAGGCGUCGGCAGGGCUGUUGUCCUUCUGGAAGCUCCGAGGAGAAUCCUCCUCGCCCUUUCCAGCUUCCAGAGGCCGCCACAUUCCUCGGCUUUGGCCCCUUCCUCUGUCUUCGCAGUGAAUUGUUCCAACCUCUGCUUCCACGGUGACCUCUCUUUUUUCUGACUCCACUCUCAUCCCUCCCUUUCAUAUGGACCCUUAUGAUGAUAUUGGACCAG